rnacentral:rRNA from 1 species
CCUACGGGAGGCUGCAGUGGGGAAUAUUGGACAAUGGGGGCAACCCUGAUCCAGCCAUGCCGCGUGUGUGAAGAAGGCCCUCUGGUGGUAAAGCACUUUCAGUGAGGAAGAACGCCUGGUGGUUAAUACCCAUCAGGAAAGACAUCACUCACAGAAGAAGCACCGGCUAACUCCGUGCCAGCAGCCGCGGUAAUACGGAGGGUGCGAGCGUUAAUCGGAAUUACUGGGCGUAAAGCGCGCGUAGGUGGCUUGAUAAGCCGGUUGUGAAAGCCCCGGGCUCAACCUGGGAACGGCAUCCGGAACUGUCAAGCUAGAGUGCAGGAGAGGAAGGUAGAAUUCCCGGUGUAGCGGUGAAAUGCGUAGAGAUCGGGAGGAAUACCAGUGGCGAAGGCGGCCUUCUGGACUGACACUGACACUGAGGUGCGAAAGCGUGGGUAGCAAACAGGAUUAGAUACCCGAGUAGUC